rnacentral:rRNA from 1 species
UUAAUGUCCAGGAGAGUGGCCCUCCGCAUGGAGGGUNGACUAGAGAUUUAUCGGUAUGGGAUGAGCUUGCGUCCGAUUAGCUAGUUGGCGGGGCAACGGCCCACCAAGGCGACGAUCGGUAGCCGGCCUGAGAGGGUGAUCGGCCACAUUGGGACUGAGAUACGGCCCAGACUCCUACGGGAGGCAGCAGUAGGGAAUAUUGCACAAUGAGGGAAACCCUGAUGCAGCAACGCCACGUGUGGGAAGAAGCAUUUCGGUGUGUAAACCACUGUCAUGAGGGGAUAAGGCCCGCCUCCGGGCGGGAUUGAAUGUACCUUGAGAGGAAGCACCGGCAAACUUCGUGCCAGCAGCCGCGGUAAUACGAGGGGUGCAAGCGUUGUUCGGAAUUACUGGGCGUAAAGGGAGCGUANGCGGAGAUUCAAGCGGAUCGUACAAUCCCGGGGCCCAACCCCGGCUCUGCAGUCCGAACUGGAUCUCUUGGAUAGUUCANGGGCAGGCGGAAUUCCUGGUGUAGCGGUGGAAUGCGUAGAGAUCAGGAAGAACACCGAUGGCGAANGCAGCCUGCUGGGGACUUAUCGACUCUGANGCUCGAAAGUGCGGGUAGCAAACAGGAUUAGAUACCCUGGUAGUCCGCACCGUAAACAAUGCAUACUGGGUGUCCGGGGGUUCCCCCGGGUACCGNANCCAACGCGU